rnacentral:rRNA from 1 species
UGAUCCAGCCAUCCCGCGUGAAGGACGACGGCCCUAUGGGUUGUAAACUUCUUUUGUAUAGGGAUAAACCUUUCCACGUGUGGAAAGCUGAAGGUACUAUACGAAUAAGCACCGGCUAACUCCGUGCCAGCAGCCGCGGUAAUACGGAGGGUGCAAGCGUUAUCCGGAUUUAUUGGGUUUAAAGGGUCCGUAGGCGGACUCGUAAGUCAGUGGUGAAAUCUCAUAGCUUAACUAUGAAACUGCCAUUGAUACUGCGGGUCUUGAGUAAAGUAGAAGUGGCUGGAAUAAGUAGUGUAGCGGUGAAAUGCAUAGAUAUUACUUAGAACACCAAUUGCGAAGGCAGGUCACUAUGUUUUAACUGACGCUGAUGGACGAAAGCGUGGGGAGCGAACAGGAUUAGAUACCCUGGUAGUCCACGCCGUAAACGAUGCUAACUCGUUUUUGGGGCUUUAAGCUUCAGAGACUAAGCGAAAGUGAUAAGUUAGCCACCUGGGGAGUACGUUCGCAAGAAUGAAACUCAAAGGAAUUGACGGGGGCCCGCACAAGCGGUGGAUUAUGUGGUUUAAUUCGAUGAUACGCGAGGAACCUUACCAAGGCUUAAAUGGGAAUUGACAGGUUUAGAAAUAGACUUUUCUUCGGACAAUUUUCAAGGUGCUGCAUGGUUGUCGUCAGCUCGUGCCGUGAGGUGUUAGGUUAAGUCCUGCAACGAGCGCAACCCCUGUCACUAGUUGCUAGCAUUAAGUUGAGGACUCUAGUGAGACUGCCUACGCAAGUAGAGAGGAAGGUGGGGAUGACGUCAAAUCAUCACGGCCCUUACGCCUUGGGCCACACACGUAAUACAAUGGCCGGUACAGAGGGCAGCUACACAGCGAUGUGAUGCAAAUCUCGAAAGCCGGUCUCAGUUCGGAUUGGAGUCUGCAACUCGACUCUAUGAAGCUGGAAUCGCUAGUAAUCGCGCAUCAGCCAUGGCGCGGUGAAUACGUUCCCGGGCCUUGUACACACCGCCCGUCAAGCCAUGGAAGUCUGGGGUACCUGAAGUCGGUGA